GGAGCAGAGAAGUGGGCCCCCGGUGAAGAUGGACAGCCCGGAACAACUAACCCUCCCCACCGGACGGUCCCUGCAGCAUAGAUGGCCCGGACCAGCUCACCCUUCCUUCCCACCGAGGGGAGGACCGCCGUGAUCCUAAUCCCAUCAGCCGGACGUCAAGGAGCAGACUGGCUCGAGCCUAUGAUGGGAUUGACACUACUUGAAUAUUAUCUUUGAGUGCGCAUCCUAUGUCCAUUCUUGGGAAACCAUCUGAACAUCUUGAGAACACGUGGAAGAGAUCUUGGAAUACGGGACAUUUAGAGGGACAAAUUAAGUGUUUUUUUUUAUGUAGUUGAAAUACUUUUUUUUAUAAUAAA